CAGCAGCCUCGGUAAUACAGAGGGUGCGAGCGUUAAUCGGAUUUACUGGGCGUAAAGCGUGCGUAGGCGGCUUUUUAAGUCGGAUGUGAAAUCCCUGAGCUUAACUUAGGAAUUGCAUUCGAUACUGGGAAGCUAGAGUAUGGGAGAGGAUGGUAGAAUUCCAGGUGUAGCGGUGAAAUGCGUAGAGAUCUGGAGGAAUACCGAUGGCGAAGGCAGCCAUCUGGCCUAAUACUGACGCUGAGGUACGAAAGCAUGGGGAGCAAACAGGAUUAGAUACCCCUGUAGUCCCUGUCUCUUAUAA
rnacentral:rRNA from 1 species